GACUUUAAGUCUCCUGAAGGAACGUUAAAGACGAUGACGUUGAUAGGCCGGGUGUGUAAGCGCAGCGAUGCGUUGAGCUAACCGGUACUAAUGAACCGUGAGGCUUAACCUU
rnacentral:rRNA from 1 species